rnacentral:rRNA from 1 species
CCUACGGGAGGCAGCAGUGGGGAAUAUUGCACAAUGGGGGAAACCCUGAUGCAGCGACGCCGCGUGAGUGAAGAAGUAUUUCGGUACGUAAAGCUCUAUCAGCAGGGAGGAAAAAAAGUCCUUUGGACUUUGGACGGUACCUGACCAAGAAGCCCCGGCUAACUACGUGCCAGCGUCCGCGGUAAUACGUAGGGGGCAAGCGUUAUCCGGAUUUACUGGGUGUAAAGGGAGCGUAGACGGCCGCGCAGGUCUGGAGUGAAAUGCCGGGGCCCAACCCCGGAACUGCUUUGGAAACUGUGCAGCUGGAGUGCAGGAGAGGGAAGCGGAAUUCCUGGUGUAGCGGUGAAAUGCGUAGAUAUCAGGAGGAACACCAGUGGCGAAGGCGGCUUACUGGACUGUAACUGACGUUGAGGUUCGAAAGCGUGGGGAGCAAACAGGAUUAGAUACCCUAGUAGUC